UUCCCCCAUGACCCAUUAAGUUGUCUGCUCUGUUUCCCUCACUGAUUAAAGGCUCUAUUUCUGUUCCUUUUCAUUUUCUCAUUGGUUUUUGCCAAUGUAGCCCAAGGAAGUUGCUUGUUUGAGUCUUUUGUAGGCCUGUGAGGCCUGAAGUCCCUGCCCUGUGUCGCUAAUGAGCUCUGCUUUUGUAGGUUCCUGUGUCCGCAGUGGAAAUGCCCGGGUCUGCAGAUAUCACAGGGCUGAAUGUUCAGUUUGGGGCCCUCGAAUUUGGAUCAGAGCCAUCUCUCUCUGAGUUUGGAUCAACAGCUUCAGCCAGUGAAAAUAGCAGUCAGCUUCCUAUCAGCUUGUACCCGAAGUCUUUAAGUGAGCCCUUGAAUGCCUCUUUCCCAAUGACCAGUGCUGUACAGAACCCCACCUACACAACC
rnacentral:lncRNA from 1 species